GUGCUCACUUCGGCAGCAUAUAUACUAAAAUUGGAGUGAUACAGAGAAGAUUAGCAUGGCCCCUGCUCAAGGAUGAUAUGUGUGUGAAAAUGUGUGUAUAUGU